rnacentral:rRNA from 1 species
UACGGAGGAUCCGAGCGUUAUCCGGAUUUAUUGGGUUUAAAGGGUGCGCAGGCGGGGGAUUAAGUCGGCGGUGAAAUUUUGCAGCUCAACUGUAAAAGUGCCUUCGAAACUGGUUUCCUUGAGUGUAGAUGAAGUAGGCGGAAUUUGUGGUGUAGCGGUGAAAUGCAUAGAUAUCACGAGGAACUCCGAUUGCGCAGGCAGCUUACUAAACUACUACUGACGCUCAGGCACGAAGGUGUGGGGAUCAAACAGGAUUAGAUACCCCGGUAGUCCCUGA